rnacentral:lncRNA from 10 species
AGUUUUAGAGUUUGAGACCUUAGAAUUAAGCCUUUGAUCCAUUUUGAUUUGAUUUUUCCAUAGUGAUAGGUAGGGAUCUAGCUUCAUUCUUCUGCAUAUGAAUAUUUUGUUUUCCCAAUGCCAUUUAUUGAAGAGGCUGUCCUUUCCCCAAUCCUCCUGAGUAGCUGGGACUACAGGUGCCCGCCACCACAUCUGGCUACUUUUUUGUAUUUUUAGUACAGAUGGGGUUUCACCAUGUUAGCCAGGAUGGUCUCCAUCUCCUGACCUCGUGAUCUGCCUGCCUGGGCCUCCCAAAGUGCUGGGAUUAUAGGCGUCAGCCACCGCACCCGGCCAUUCCUAGUUUUCUUUUUAUCUUAUUUGUAGCUAUUGUUAAAGGGAUUACUUUCUUGAUUUCUUUUUCAGAUUAUUCACUGCUGUCAAAUAGAAAUACUACUGAUUUUUUAUGUCGGUUUUGUAUCCUGCAACUUUACUAAAUUUGCUUAUCAAUUCUAAUAGUUUUUAUGGAGUCUUUAGGUUUUUCCCAAAAUAAGAUCAUGUUAUCUGCAAAUAAGGAUAACUUUACUUCUUCCUUUUCAAUCCAGAUGCCCUUUAUUUCAUUUGUCAAAUUUCUCUAGCUAGUGCUUCCAAUACAAUGCUGAAUAACAGUGGUGAAAGUGGGCAUCCUUGUUUUGUUCCAGAUCUUAGAGGAAAGCCUUUUGGUUGUUCCUCAUUCGGGAGAAGACUAGCUUGGGUCAGUUGUAUAUGGCUUUUAUUGUGUUGAGGUAUGUUCCUCCUAUAUCCAGCUUUUUGAGAAUUUAUAUCAUGAAGAGAUAUUGAAUUUGAUCAGAUGACUUUUCAGUAACAAUUAAAAUGAUCAGAUGGUUUUUGUUCUUUAUUCUGCUGAUAUGAUGUAUCACAUAGGUUGAUUUGUGUAUCAACAUCCUUGUAUCCCUGGGAUAAAUCCCACCUGGUCAUGAUAAAUGAUUUUUAUUAAUAUGUUGUUGAAUUCAAUUUGCUAGUAUUUUGUUGAGGAUUUUUGCGUCAAUGUUCAUCAGGGAUAUUGGCCUAUACAUUUUUUUUGUUGUUGAUGUAUCUUUGUCUUGUAUUGAUUUUAGCAUAACACUGUCCUUGUAGAUUUAGUUUGGAAGUAUUCCCUCCUCCUCUACUUUUUGAAAUAGCUUGAAUCAGAUUGGUAUUAGUUUUCCUUUAAAUGAUUGCUAAAAUUCAGCAGUGAAGCCAUUGGGUCUUGGGCAUUUCUUUGCUGGGAGACUUUUUAUUACAGCUUUGAUCUUAUUACUUGUUGCUGAUCUGUUCAGAUUUUGGAUUUCCUCAUGAUUCAAUCUUGGUAGGCUUUAUGUGUCUAGGAAUUUAUCCAUUUCUUCUAGACUUUCCAAUUUAUUGGCAUAUAGUUGCUCAUAGUAGCCUCUAAUGAUCCUUUUAAUUUCUGCAGUAUUAGUUUUAAUGUCUCCUUUUUCAUCUUUGAUUUUAUUUAUUUGACUCUUUUCUCUUUUUACUUAGUCUAGCUAAUGGUUUGUUGAUUUUGUUUAUCUUUUCAAAAAGCAACUUUUAAUUUCAUUGAACUUUUGUAUUUUUUGUUUCAAUUUUAUUUAUAUCUGAGCUUUAUUAUUUCUUUUUUCUAGCAAUUUUGGGUUUGUUUUUUCUCUUAUUUUUCUAGUUAUUAAAGAUGUAUUAUUAGGCUGUUUGAAGUUUUUCUACUUCUUUGAUGUAGACACUUAUAACCAUAUAUUUCCUUCUCAGUACUGCUUCUGGUAUGCUUUUUGAUAUGUUGUGUUUCCAUUGUGAUUUAUUUCAAAAAAGUUUUUAAUUUCCUUCUUUAUUUCUUCAUUGACCCAUUGGUCAUUCAGGAGCAUAUUUUUGAAUUCCCAUGUGUUUGUAUAGUUUCCAAAACUCCUCUUGUUAUUGAUAUCUAGUUUUAUUCUAUUAUGGUCAGAGAAGGUGCUUGACAUUAUUUCCAUUUUUAAAAAAAUCUUUUAAGACUUGUUUUGUGGCCUAACACACAGUCCAUUCUUAAGAAUGAUCCAUGUGCUAAGAAACCAAAUGUGUAUUCUGCAGCUGGAAAAAAAAUUGUUCCGUAAGUGUCUGUUAAUAUUAGGUCCAUUUGGUCUAACUGCAGACUAAGUCCAAUGUUUCUUACUUUAUUUUCUGUCCACAUGCUCAUCUA